rnacentral:rRNA from 1 species
GGACCCUACGGGGCGCAGCAGUGAGGAAUAUUGGUCAAUGGACGCAAGUCUGAACCAGCCAUGCCGCGUGCAGGAAGACGGCUCUAUGAGUUGUAAACUGCUUUCGUACGAGGGUAAAUCCCGAUACGUGUAUCGGGUUGAAAGUAUCGUACGAAUAAGGAUCGGCUAACUCCGUGCCAGCAGCCGCGGUAAUACGGAGGAUUCAAGCGUUAUCCGGAUUUAUUGGGUUUAAAGGGUGCGUAGGCGGGCUGUUAAGUCAGCGGUAAAAGCCCGGGGCUCAACCCCGGCGAGCCGUUGAAACUGGC